GGGAUUAUGGUGAAGCGGUUAUCACAGCGCUCUGUGGCAGCGCGGUCACGGGUUCGAUUCCCGUUAAUCCCC
rnacentral:tRNA from 1 species